UGGGAAGUGAUGACCCUGCAUCCCCUGACAUCCCGCUGAUGUCUCAGUAUUCGUACUGGCUGAUCCCC